GGAGUAGAUAUUAUAUUUUACAAAUCAAGUUGUGCAUUGCCUUUAGCUCUUCAUGCCUGUCUACCUUUAGUUGUCAUUGAACUUCUGGCCAAGCAUGUUUUCUUUGUUAUUGUCUUGCAUGAUGGCCUGGAUAAUCUGGAACUCAAAUCAGUGGCAGAUAUCAAAUCGAUAAAUAUAAGUGUGCUUGUGCCUGAACACUUUGUGGUGCAGGGACGUUAUGAUGUUUGUUGCCCUAUGAUGUCUGCUUGGGAUCUUCAUAAGGCUUGGCCUGAAUCAGAAUUCAAGGUGGUAGCAGAUGCAGGGCACUCGGCCAAUGAAGUUGGCAUCGCUGCCGAACUGAGGUCAGCCACCGAUAAACUGAGAGACUUGCUGCGCAAAUAAGCCGGCGAAAGGCAACCUGCACCUUUAUCUGAUGAUGGAACUCAGAGGCUCAGAAUACCAUUUAAAGUUAUGCUUGGACCUAUAUUGAUGUCUUUUUUGGCUACUAAGUUUUAUAAUAUCAUGUUUUAGGGCAUCAAACAAUUCUUUGUUGUUGUUGACAAAGAGGAGUGGAAGAUUGAUACGCUUUGUGAUCUUUAUGAUACACUCACCAUCACUCAAAUAUUAAUUAGGAUUUUGUAUUGUAUUAUCUCUGCCCACUAACAUGGUAUCUGAUUGCUAGCACAACAUGGUAUAUUUACUUGUGUAUCUUUUGUAGUAUUAAAGGUGUCUACAAUGCACACCCAACAGCUGAUGUAUUUAUCAACUUUGCAUCCUUCCGAAGGUUAGCCAUUAUUUCCAUUUUGCUUUUGUGAAAGAGCACAUUAUCUUGGAUAACUAGAAGAUAACUAUAUUGGAGGAUUAUCUAAAUAGGACUUGAUCGAAUCUGUUGUGUAGUUUUGUUUACAUAGACCUAUACAUUUUGUCAUACUCAUGAUUUAUUCU